GCCGCGGUAGCCCAUUUGGUAGAGGCGUCUGCAGUACUGAUGACGAAAGUCGCAGGUUCAAAUCCUGCACGCGGUG